rnacentral:rRNA from 1 species
UACGUAGGGGGCAAGCGUUGUCCGGAUUUAUUGGGCGUAAAGAGCGUGUAGGCGGUUAGGUAGGUCUGUUGUGAAAACUCGAGGCUCAACCUCGAGACGCCGAUGGAAACCAUCUGACUAGAGUCCGGAAGAGGAGAGUGGAAUUCCUGGUGUAGCGGUGAAAUGCGCAGAUAUCAGGAGGAACACCGAUGGCGAAGGCAGGUCUCUGGGCAUUAACUGACGCUGAGGAGCGAAAGCAUGGGGAGCGAACAGG